UACGGAGGGUGCAAGCGUUGUCCGGAUUUAUUGGGUUUAAAGGGUGCGUAGGCGGCCUAUUAAGUCAGGGGUGAAAGACUGCAGCUUAACUGUAGCAGUGCCUUUGAUACUGAUGGGCUUGAGUACAGAUGAGGCUGGCGGAAUGGGUGGUGUAGCGGUGAAAUGCGUUGAUAUCAUCAGGAACUCCGGUGGCGAAGGCGGCUCGCUGGACCUUUUCUGACGCUGAGGCGCGAAAGCUAAGGGGAGCAAACGGGGAUUAAGAAACCCCGUGUAACGUC
rnacentral:rRNA from 1 species